CAGACAGGUGGAGGAACCAAUCACGGGGCUGUAUUCAGACACCGGCACGCGGAACAGGUUGUAUCGGACCAAUGGAAACCCACGGAGCGGACGCGCCCCAAUUGGGCAGGGGAGGGCCCAGUGGGCGGUGCUUCCUCAGUCGGCAUGUGGGCGGGGAUCAGCAGCCGCAGAGGCGUCGACGGCGGUGGCGACGACGUUCCUUAGUUUUCGGUGUGGGCUCAUUGGCGCUGGCACGGCUGCUGGGAGGGCUCGGUUGUCAGCAGCGGCGGCCCUACGGCGGGGGGCCGCGGCGCCAUGGGGGGACGGUAGACGGGCUCCGACUCUAGAGGCGAGAGGCGGCGGCGGUCCUCCGGCCCUCGGCGACCUUCGGCGGGGCCCAGGGGUGGGGAGGCCCGGGGCGGGGGUCGUCCCGGGCAGCGCGGGGCCGCGGGGCGGGGCUCGCAGGUCAUUGGGGAGCAAGAGGCCUGGGCCGCCGCGAGGAGCCGCCGCCGGCCGCUGGGCCCCGCCACCGGGCCGCUUGACGACGACGCUUCCGCGGGAGCCUAGCCUGAGGAGGACGCGGCGGCGGCGGCGGCGAGGCCGCGGGAGGCCGCGGAGGAUGGAGGAGCGGAAGGAAGAGGGCGAGGCAGAGAUUCAGGAGCACGGGCCCGAGCAUUGGUUCUCCAAGUGGGAGCGGCAGUGCCUGGCCGAGGCCGAGCAGGACGAGCAGCUACCCCCGGAGCUGCAGGACGAGGCGGCGGCCGGGGCGCAGCCCGAGCACAAGCAACAGAAGCUGUGGCACCUCUUCCAGAACUCGGCCACCGCCGUGGCCCAGCUCUACAAAGACCGAGUGUGUCAGCAACAAGGACUUUCUCUCUGGGUCCCCUUCCAAAACGCAGCCACCGCCGUCACCAACCUCUACAAAGAAAGCGUGGACACCCAUCAGCGAAGUUUUGAUAUUGGAAUUCAGAUUGGCUAUCAGCGACGCAAUAAGGAUGUGUUGGCUUGGGUUAAAAAGCGCAGAAGAACUAUUCGUAGAGAAGAUUUGAUCAGCUUCCUGUGUGGGAAAGUUCCUCCACCACGAAACUCUAGAGCUCCCCCAAGACUGACUGUAGUGUCCCCUAACCGAGCUACUUCAACGGAAACUAGCUCAUCUGUAGAGACUGAUUUGCAACCCUUCCGGGAAGCCAUAGCUCUGCAUGGUCUUAGUGGUGCAAUGGCUAGUAUAAGCGUGCGUUCGAGUACCCCAGGCUCUCCUACACAUGUAAGCAGUGGAUCGAAUGCUAGUCGAAGGAGAAAUGGACUCCAUGAUGUCGAUUUGAACACUUUCAUAUCAGAAGAAAUGGCACUCCACUUGGACAAUGGUGGAACUAGAAAGCGUACCUCAGCCCAGUGUGGCGAUGUCAUUACAGACUCACCAACCCAUAAACGCAACAGAAUGAUCUAAACUGAAAACAUUUUCACACCCACCAUGCUGCUUGAAAGCCACUUGAUCCUCAACAUAUACUAUUAUUGCAAAGGAAACAUGAGGCCAUCUUCCCUUGUUCACUGUUUCUAAGACAAGUGAAUUCUAUAGUGGUUGCCAUAAAAGGAAGUUCUAGGUAUUUACAGUAGAUGCCUCUUGUAACCAUGGCUUUCUUAAAACUAUAAUCCUAGCAGAGGACAUCAGAUAUUGUGUAGUUAGCAAGAUCAUCAUAGGCAAACAUAUAUCCGUUCCAAGGCUAAAAGUGACCUUAACUGUAUUUAUUCUCAAAGGGAAAGGAAAUAUCAGAUGUUUAUUUGGUUAUAGAAUGCUUUUCCCCCCCUCCAUUUCCUGCUGUGUUGAGUAUUUUGCUUCAACAGUAUUGCCAGGUUCCUAAAAUUGUCUAAAACACGAUUUGGCUUCCUCGUCAAAUCUGCAGGCUUCCAUUUUUGCACAGCAGCACUGUACCAUGCACCUGAUUUCUAUAUAGUAACAGUGUGCAACUUCUAAUUCUUGGACUGUGCCCUGUUUUCAGUUUUCAAAGCAGUUGCUAAUUCUGGUGAUUGUGUGAUGUAAAGAGGUGCUAUGAUGGUCAUGCAAUUAAUACUUAAUAUUGAAUCAAUACACAGAACUUUAUUGGAUUCACUUUGUGUGUGUUAGUGCUCUAAAAGUAGCAAUAUUUUAAUCGCCCCCAGAUGAAUGAACCCUUUAGGCUUAAACUCCAGUUUUAAGACAAGUACUGCUUCCCAUGCAGGGUACUUAUUCUUAUGGUAAAUGUAAACAUGUAGACUGCACUCAAGGUGACCUAAAGUAGAGAGGUCAUGAAAUUUGAGAGUGGACUUCCUUUUUGGUAUAGUAUUCAUGAGAAGGGAGAUGGAUGGUGGGAGUGUAGGUAUUCCAGCCUUUCUGUCCUGUUUUACAUUUUUUAUGAGUGCCCUACAUUGUGCAGUUUCCAUUAGAAUGGGUGGCAGGUUAAAAUAGGUCUUGAUCUGCUUACAGUGUGAUUACAACUUAAAUAGCAAAACCCAACUCGAAUCCCUCUCCUAAAAAGGGCAGUUUGGAAUCUCAUUCUGGAAAAGAUGGAAUCGCAUGGAGGUUCUCUAGAUGUUAGGUAGACCUAAAUAAAAGUUCUCACUAGAUUCCUCUUUUGAGUAAAAUAUAAGACCUCUUGUAGCUACAAUGUUUUAGAGCAUGUUUCAUCUUCAUUUUUAAUAUCUCGAACUGAAUGAUAGUCUUUUUUUAGAUGAAGAACUGAUGUCAGCCUGCCAGGUUGAUUCGUUAGGGUGUCUAGUGAUGAAGUUGGGAAUCUUCAGAAAUACAUUCUGUCCUCUAGGAAUGGAGUGACUUGGAAGGUCCCUCCAAACAAGGUAAAAAACAAACCCAUGUUUGUUUACUUAAUAUUUUAAUGUUUGUUCAUCUUCACCUGAGGAUGUUUUUCCAUUGAUUUUUAGGGAGAGUGGAAGAGAGAGGGAAAGACGGGGAGAAAUCGAUGUGAGAGAAACACAUCGGUUGCCUCCUUCAUGAGUUCCGACCAGGUCGCGGGCUGGGGAGGAGUAUCCAUCCAAUCAAGGUACCUGCCCUUGACCGGAAUCGAACCCGGGACCCUUUGGUCCUCAGGCUGGUGCUCUAUCCAUUGACCCAAACUGGCUAGGGUAAAACCCAUGUUUAUUAAAGUUAAACUUAAGAUUUAUUAUUAUUAUUUUUUAAAAUAUAUUUUAUUGAUUUUUACAGAGAGGAAGAGAGAGGGAUAGAGAGUUAGAAACAGCAAUGAGAGAAAAACAUUGAUCAGCUGCCUCCUGCACACCCCCCACUGGGGAUGUGCCCGCAACCAAGGCACAUGCUCUUGACCAGAAUGGAAUCAGGGACCCUUCAGUCCGCAGGGCCGACGCUCCAUCCACUGAGUCAAACCGGUCAGGGCUAAACUUAAGAUUUAUUAAUUAAAGAAGAUUAUUCUGAUCAGAUGUUUAUAGUGCCUGCUCUCCCCCACCCCUUUUGAAAGUUGUUAAAACUUCAACCAGUUCAGAUGACCUUCCAGACUCCAUAUUAGAAUGUUUGUGAGGUGUGUGAUGUUUUAGUGGGGACAGUAUUUUGGUUGAUAUUCCUUGUCUUGGACUAAUGCAUUUGACAUGGUGAGAUCCAGGGUUUUACUUCCUGUGAUGGGACAUGCAUGUUUUCUUAAAGUUCAGCAGAUAGCAGCCUGUGACAUGAGAGAGUUUUCAGGAUUCAACACAAACUUGUAGCCCUCAGCAAAACUCGGAAGUUUCAUUGACGCUAUUCCAAGUUUCUGAUGUCUCCUCAUUUUAUUUAUAUUGAAUUAAUGAUUUAAAGAAAUCUAAAACUGCAAAAAUGAAGCCACACAACUGGUUAUAGUGUAUGCAUGUCUUUCUGCAUGAAAUAUAUGUACAGAUGUUUUAUGACCUAAUACCUCAUUGUAUGGGUGGGCCUUAAGGGAAUUACAGCUUAAUUAUUAGUAUACUGCACAGCAGUGAAUAUUCUAGUUUUUUCUAAAAAAAAUACUUUAAUGAUUUCAGAGAGGAAGGGAGGAGAGAGAGAGAAACAUCAAUGAUGAGAGAAUCAUUGGUCAGCUGCCUCUUGCACACCCCACACUGGGAUUGAGCCUGCAACCUGGGCAUGUGGCCUGACCGGGAAUGGAACUGUGACCUGGAUCAUAGGUCCAUGCUCAACCACUGAGCCACACUGGUCAGGCACUAUUCUAGUUUCCUUAGGGUUCUAUAGGAUAUAUUUCUGUAGGUAAAAUUGCUGGUUUAAAGGAAUUCAAAUUUAAGACAUUGAUGAAUCCUACCAAAGUACUUUCUGCAAGGAACAGUUAAACUGUGAACAAGGUGACGACAAGUGUGCCUUUUUCCCCGUGUCUUAGCCGAGAUUGGCUAAGUAUACUACUUGCAGGCAGAAGGGAGCUUAUAUUUUCAUUUGCUUUUUGCCCCCUCAUAUGGAGAAAGAACCUUUGCUUGAAAUUAUGUGGAUUUGAAUGCUGACUUAAUUAUGUGUGGGUACCUGGGCCUCCCUGGGCUCAAUUGCAUCAUCUGUGAAAUAGGUAUAAUCUAAAAAAAAAAUGACAUGAAGCUUGGUGAUCUGGAUUCCAUGAAUAAUUUACAUUUACUUUUGUAAUCUGUCUUCCUUCAGUGGGCCCCUUGAGGACUGGAAUGGCAGAACAAAUUAACAUGAAUUUCUGUAAAAAC